ACAUUUGUCUUUAUGAUAGACAAAAAUACAACUCUGUUACCAGUGCUCUGCUAGAUUUGCCCUUUAGAUCACAUAGCCUGAAAGGUUAAAGAUCAACUUUCUAACACAAAGACAUGAUAUAGUCUCAGUUUCACUGAAUGAUUUUGAGUUUUUUAUUUUUGGCACAUUUCGUUCAUUUUCACGGAUGAUUCUUUUUUAUACUUUUGUACUAUCAUGAUUUUUUUUAGUGAUAGUGUGUGAACUCCGUCCAAUGUUUAACAAAUAUUGACUGUUGUCCAUUCCUCUGAAUAAUAGAUAUUUAUAUCAUCUAUUAUUAUUUACAUAUGUUAGAUUUUGUAAAAAUAUUGUUUAAAAAAAUAUAUAAUAUGAUAAAUGUUUAUAAUAUCUAUUCCUUAGAGAUCUAAAUAUGUUUAUCAAUGUUUUCAUUGAAUGCAAAUAAAAAUGUGGAU